rnacentral:rRNA from 1 species
GAUGAACGCUGGCGGCGUGCCUAAUACAUGCAAGUCGAGCGAACAGACGAGGAGCUUGCUCCUCUGACGUUAGCGGCGGACGGGUGAGUAACACGUGGAUAACCCCCCUAUAAGACUGGGAUAACUUCGGGAAACCGGAGCAAACACCGGAUAAUAUAUUGAACCGCAUGGUUCAAUAGUGAAAGACGGUUUUGCGGUCACUUAUAGCGGGAUCCGCGCCGCAUUAGCUAGUUGGUAAGGUAACGGCUUACCAAGGCGACGAUGCGUAGCCGACUUGAGAGGGUGAUCGGCCACACUGGAACUGAGACACGGUCCAGACUCCUACGGGAGGCAGCAGUAGGGAAUCUUCCGCAAUGGGCGAAAGCCUGGCGGAGCAACGCCGCGUGAGUGAUGAAGGUCUUCGGAUCGUAAAACUCUGUUAUUAGGGAAGAACAAAUGUGUAAGUAACUAUGCACGUCUUGACGGUACCUAGUCAGAAAGCCACGGCUAACUACGUG